rnacentral:rRNA from 1 species
AGAGUUUGAUCAUGGCUCAGAAUCAACGCUGGCGGCGUGCCUAACACAUGCAAGUCGAACGAGAAAGUGGAGCAAUCCAUGAGUAAAGUGGCGCACGGGUGAGUAACACGUGACUAACCUACCCAGGAGUGGGGGAUAACUGAGGGAAACCUUAGCUAAUACCGCAUAACACCUACGGGUCAAAGGAGCAAUUCGCUUCUGGAGGGGGUCGCGGCCGAUUAGUUAGUUGGCAGGGUAACGGCCUACCAAGACGAUGAUCGGUAUCCGGCCUGAGAGGGCGCACGGACACACUGGAACUGAAACACGGUCCAGACUCCUACGGGAGGCAGCAGUGGGGAAUUUUGCGCAAUGGGGGAAACCCUGACGCAGCAACGCCGCGUGGAGGAUGAAGUCCUUCGGGACGUAAACUCCUUUCGAUCGGGACGAUUAUGACGGUACCGGAAGAAGAAGCCCCGGCUAACUUCGUGCCAGCAGCCGCGGUAAUACGAGGGGGGCGAGCGUUGUUCGGAAUUAUUGGGCGUAAAGGGUGCGUAGGCGGUUUGGUAAGUCUGAUGUGAAAUCUAUGGGCUCAACUCAUAGUCUGCAUCGGAAACUGCCGGGCUUGAGUAUGGGAGAGGUGAGUGGAAUUCCUGGUGUAGCGGUGAAAUGCGUAGAUAUCAGGAGGAACACCUGUGGCGAAAGCGGCUCACUGGACCAUAACUGACGCUGAUGCACGAAAGCUAGGGGAGCAAACAGGAUUAGAUACCCUAGUAGUCC